AGUUGUUUUCAAUGAUGCGGCUUUCAAAUCGACGAUCAGCUCCAUUCGACUUGAUAUAUACUAUUGAAAGUAUUUAAAAACUAAAUUUUAUAAUUUUUCGGCACCAUUUACCUAUCAAACGAGUAGCCUAAAAAUGAACAGCUGAAAAUAAAAAUUUUAUAAAAAAUGAUGAUAAAAAACUUGAAUUUAAGAUCGGAGAUACUAAUCUUAUUCUAAAUAGUAAAAAAAAUUUCUAUAAAAAUUUCAUCAAAUUUGGAUUAUUUUGCACCGUUAAAUUUAUAAAUGCAUCACAUCUACCAUUAAAAUUAUCAAUUUUGAGAUAUUUUGAUCACUAUCCAAAUGAUGUCGAAAAAUUACCAGCCUAGAUCUAUAUAUUUUAUAUUCUGAUUUUGAAAUUUCUAUAGUACAAUUUUACGAGU
rnacentral:lncRNA from 1 species